UACGUAGGGUACAAGCGUUGUCCGGAAUUAUUGGGCCUAAAGCAUCCGUAGCCGGCCUUACAAGUCCUCCGUUAAAUCCAGCUGCUUAACAGAUGGGCUGCGGAGGAUACUAUAAGACUAGGAGGCAGGAGAGGCAAGCGGUACUCAGUGGGUAGGGGUAAAAUCCGUUGAUCCAUUGAAGACCACCAGUGGCGAAGGCGGCUUGCCAGAAUGCGCUCGACGGUGAGGGAUGAAAGCUGGGGGAGCAAACCGG
rnacentral:rRNA from 1 species